rnacentral:rRNA from 1 species
UGACCGCUGGCGGCGUGCCUAAUACAUGCAAGUCGAGCGAACAGACGAGGAGCUUGCUCCUCUGACGUUAGCGGCGGACGGGUGAGUAACACGUGGAUAACCUACCUAUAAGACUGGGAUAACUUCGGGAAACCGGAGCUAAUACCGGAUAAUAUAUUGAACCGCAUGGUUCAAUAGUGAAAGACGGUUUUGCUGUCACUUAUAGAUGGAUCCGCGCCGCAUUAGCUAGUUGGUAAGGUAACGGCUUACCAAGGCGACGAUGCGUAGCCGACCUGAGAGGGUGAUCGGCCACACUGGAACUGAGACACGGUCCAGACUCCUACGGGAGGCAGCAGUAGGGAAUCUUCCGCAAUGGGCGAAAGCUUGACGGAGCAACGCCGCGUGAGUGAUGAAGGUCUUCGGAUCGUAAAACUCUGUUAUUAGGGAAGAACAAAUGUGUAAGUAACUAUGCACGUCUUGACGGUACCUAAUCAGAAAGCCACGGCUAACUACGUG